rnacentral:lncRNA from 1 species
UCUCCCUCUUCGUCUUUGAAGAACACAGACCAACAAACCCCCACUAAUGGUGGGGGUGGAUUUUGGGUAUAAAUAGGAGUCAUUUUGACUAAUGGUGGGGGUGGAUUUUGAACAUUAGAAAUUCAAUAUUGAGAGCUUAGGUUUUUCUUACGCUAAGAUUUCAGAGUGAUGUUGGCAGUCUUCAUACGAAGAAUCCAGCUUUGAGGGAGAGAGAUAGGAUGAUUUUUCAGAACUUGAAAUUCAGUCCUUGAGAUCUAAAAAUUGAAAGUGAAGCCUUUUAUUUACUGCUGAAAAUCAAAACUCUGUUACUGCUUCUAUGGAUUCCAUUUGGUACUACUGAUUUUCAUAUUGGCUUUCCUGGGUUUUCUAUUUCGUUUUUGAGUACUGUUUCAUUGAGUUCCUGGGUUUCUGCUUGGGUUUCUGGUCUGCACUAGUUUUCUGCUAUUACUACAUUGGUUUUUACAAUCUCUGGUGCAUCUGUGUUGCUGUUUAAUUUUUUGAAACUGUUAUUGGUUUUCCUGGGAUCUGGUCUGUUGGGUUUCUGCCUAUUGUUGAUUAAUCUGCCUGUUGUUGUUACUGCACCUGCUGAUCCUCCUCUUCUUUCUCUAUUUGUCUAUUUCCAGAUACACUUUCGAAC